rnacentral:rRNA from 1 species
AACGAACGUUGGCGGCGUGGAUUAGGCAUGCAAGUCGAGCGAGAACCGUAGCAAUACGGGGACAGCGGCGAAAGGGACAGUAAUGUGUAGGUACCUACCCCCGGGUUCGGGAUAGCUGCGGGAAACUGCAGGUAAUACCGAAUAAUGUCUUCGGACCAAAGGUGUGAUUCCACCUGGGGAGGGGCCCGCAUCCUAGUAGCUUGUUGGUGGGGUAACGGCUUACCAAGGCGACGAUGGGUAGCGGGUGUGAGAGCAUGACCCGCGUCAUUGGGGCUGGGACACUGCCCAGACACCUACGGGUGGCUGCAGUCGAGGAUCUUCGGCAAUGGGCGCAAGCCUGACCGAGCGACGCCGCGUGCGGGAUGAAGGCCUUCGGGUUGUAAACCGCUGUCGUAGAGGAGGAAAUGCAGGAGGGUUCUCCCUUCUGUUUGACCUAUUCUAGGAGGAAGUACGGGCUAAGUUCGUGCCAGCCGCCGCAGUAA